AGGGAUUCUGGGACGGAGGAGGAGGAUGAUGGUCGCACCGUUUGCACCAGAAUAUUUACUGGGUGCAAGGCAGCUGGGAAGAGCUCCCUCUGACUGAGAGGCAAAUUCAAAAAAGUGUGCAGUAAUCUUCACUAAAACUACACCAACAAACAUAACACACAGUAUGUACAAAUACAUAGUAUGAAAAUUCCAAAGGUAUCCAGCUAUUACUAUGACAACACAAACCACAGGACCAGAUCAUCUGAAUAGUCACUGCCAGACCUAGAGAGAACAAGUCCAGCAUUCUCAGAGAAAGGUCUGUCUAAUAGAUCAUCAAAAAUAAAAUCCAUGCACCCUCACCAACUCUAAAAUGUGGUGGUGCUCAGAUCCAAAAGGAAGACAGGCUUCUGUUGAAUUCUGGUAGAUGUAGCCAAGAGUGGUACUGGUUCAUUCGGGGGUUACAGUAUACUACCUGGUUGGAACUCUUCACUUAGGAUGUUUCACAGUUGGCCCAGUGACAGUCUUAAGAACUCUGAGGUGCCUGAAAGAGCUGUAGGCCUUCAACAAAAAUUAUUUAAGAUUUCAAGCACUUAAUAAGCAGCUGU